rnacentral:rRNA from 1 species
AAGAAGCGACGGCGGGCGGGUGAAUAAACGCGUGGGUAACCUGCCCUGUACACACGGAUAACAUACCGAAAGGUAUACUAAUACGGGGAUAACAUACGAAGAGUCGCAUGGCUUUUGUAUCAAAGCUCCGGCGGUACAGGAUGGACCCGCGUCUGAUUAGCUAGUUGGUAAGGUAAUGGCUUACCAUAGGCAACGAUCAGUACCGACCUGAGAGGGUGAUCGGCCACACUGGAACUGAGACACGGUCCAGACUCCUACGGGAGGCAGCAGUGGGGAAUAUUGCACAAUGGGCGAAAGCCUGAUGCAGCAACGCCGCGUGAGCGAUGAAGGCCUUCGGGUCGUUU